UACGGGGGGGGCAAGCGUUGUUCGGAAUUACUGGGCGUAAAGGGUUUGUAGGUGGCUUGCUAAGUCAGACGUGAAAUCCCUCAGCUUAACUGGGGAACUGCGUCUGAGACUGGCAGGCUUGAGUGCAGGAGAGGAACGCGGAAUUCCAGGUGUAGCGGUGUAAUGCGUAGAUAUCUGGAGGAACACCGGUGGCGAAGGCGGCAUCCUGGACCGGCAUUGACGCUGAGGCGCGAAAGCCAGGGGAGCAAACGGG
rnacentral:rRNA from 1 species